GUUUCUCUGUUCACGGGAUUGAUUGGCAUUAGCGGCGAUGAAGGACGUGCAGGAGGACGAUAUGCGUUGUUGUUGUGACGGUGUCUGAAUUGUGUGCGGUGUGCACGGGGACCCCUUGGACUUAAGCAUAUCAGUAAAGGGAGGAGAAGAAACCAAAUGGGAUUGCCUGAGUAGCGGCGAGUGAAAUGGCAUGAGCCUGUGUGGUAACUGCGUUUGGCGGGUUGUGUUUGUGGCAGCAGCGGCGAGUGCGAUUGAAUUCGGAUGCGGAGAGGGCGAUGUGCCUGUAGGCGCGGCGGCUUUUUUUGUGAGUAGUGUUGCUUGGUAGUGCAGCGCGAAUGCGGUGGUGGAUGCACCGAAGGCUAAAUAUGGCUGAUGACCGAUAGCGGAUAAGUAGAGUGAUUGAAGUGUGAAAAGGAGGAUGAUGAGAAAUGAAAGUGAAUGGAGUGAAUGGGGGAUGUUCCCGCCCGUCUUGAAACACGGACCAAGGAGACGACGGCAGGAUUGUUUUCCGAGAGGGGAUGGAUGCUGCGGUCGGACCCGAAAGAUGGUGAGCUAUGUGUGUGUUGAUUGAAGGGAUGCGAAAGUGUUCUGGAGGAUCUAAGCCGUUCUGACGUGCAACUCGAUGGCAUGACAUGUGCAUAGGGGCGAAAGACCAAACGAACCAUCUGGUAGCUGGUUCCCUCUGAAAUGUCUCUCAGGACAGCGGCGACGGGGAGUGUAAGAUGUUGUAAAGCACUAAUGCGCUUGCGUUAAACUUUGAAGAUGUCUUUUAAGUGUGUUGCCAGUGGGCAUACUGUGGUAAGCAUGGUGUGCGAGAAGGGAUGAACCUUUAAGCGGGCUAAGGAGUCUUAUGCAAGGUGAGUGAAUCCGGCGGCCUGAUUUUGACAGUUGGACGGUGGCCAUGGAGGUUGGCAUCCGCUAAGAAACGUGUUGCAACGUACCUACCGAAUUGGGCGGCGGAGAAAAUGGAAGGGAUUGAAUUGCAUUCCGAUGCCUGCGGGGGAGUAUCUGAGUAAGGGGGCGGUAUCGUUCUGCUGAAGGUCCUGCGUGAGCGGGGGUGGAGGGGCGAUAUGUGCAGAUCUUGGUAGCAGUAACAAGGAAAUGAUUUGCGCUGUGGACGAGGGUUCCCUGUGUGGCAGGGGUGAAUCGACUGUGGAUACGGAGGUGCAUUGAUAGUUGUGUGUAUUGCGGCUGGGAGGCGACUUGGCUGUGACGGAUGGGGGCGGCCCUGUCCAGGAUAGCAGAACUGGAUGCUGUCUGCUGCGGAUUGUUAUGAUGCGAAGCAGCGAUUGUGGGCGAGCCUGUUCCGAUGAAAAAGAGGCUGCUUUGUCGUACCUAGACCGCAUCUGGUGUCCACUGUUUGCCGCGGAAGUGUUUUGUGCAAGGGCCGUAAGGGAAGUCGGCAAGAUUGAUGUGUAACUUCGGGAGAAGGAUUGGCUCUAGCGUGCUAGAACUGUUUGUUGUGGGGAAUCUGACUGUUUACUAAAAACAUAGCUUUGUGUGUGGACGCAAAGUGAAUUCUGCCCAGUGCACUUUUAGUUACGGCCUGUGUGGGCUAAGCGAGUGUAAACGGCGGGAGUAACUAUGACUCUCUUAAGGUAGCCAAAUGCCUCGUCAUGUAAUUAGUGACGCGCAUGAAUGGAGCAACGAGAUUCCCACUGUCCCUACGGCCUGUCUUGUGAACCUACAGCCAAGGGAACGGGCUUGGGCUGAUCAGCGGGGAAAGAAGACCCUGUUGAGCUUGACUCUAGCAUGUGUGAAGUGCUGGGUGUGGGCAUGCAGCGAGGUGGGGAUGAGUGCGAUACCACUAUGUCUUCCGCCCAGUGCUUUGUGGAUGGAUGUGGGGAGUUUGGCUGGGGCGGCACGACUGCUAAAGACUAACGCAGACGUCCUAAGGCGGGCUCAGCGGGGAAGGAAACCACGCGUGGAGCACAAGGGCACAAGCCUGCUUGAGACUGUUCCUAUUGCGGGACUGUUUGGGGGAAACCCUGGCCUAGAGAUCCCAUGUCCUAUUGUGCGUGGGACAUGGGUGACAGAAAAGUUACCACAGGGAUAACUGGCUUGUAGCAGCCGAGCGACCAUAGCGACGCUGCUUUUUGAUUCUUCGAUGUCGGCUCUUCCUAUCAUCGCGAAGCAGAGAUUGCGAAGUGUUGGAUUGUUCACCCACCAACAGGGAACGUGAGCUGGGUUUAGACCGUCGUGAGACAGGUUAGUUUUACCCUACUGUGUGGACUGUGCAGCAGAUCUUGAUAGUACGAGAGGAACUCUUGAUUGCGACCUCUGGUGGAGCGGCGUGCCUGCUGGCUGCUGCGGAGCUACGUCGGGAGUAUAAUGGCUGAAGGCCUCUAAGCCUGAAGACCGACUGCGCGGUGUGUGUGGCGGAAGACGACCGCUGUGUGUGCAAGCUGUGCGGAUGGAGGAGGAUUCCGACAUUUUGAGGCUGUGCAUUUGCGCGAGUGUGUGUGGAGAGCUCUUAUUGCACUGUG
rnacentral:rRNA from 1 species